rnacentral:rRNA from 1 species
CUCCGGGAAACCGGAGCUAAUACCGGAUAGUUCCUUGAACCGCAUGGUUCAAGGAUGAAAGACGGUUUCGGCUGUCACUUACAGAUGGACCCGCGGCGCAUUAGCUAGUUGGUGAGGUAACGGCUCACCAAGGCGACGAUGCGUAGCCGACCUGAGAGGGUGAUCGGCCACACUGGGACUGAGACACGGCCCAGACUCCUACGGGAGGCAGCAGUAGGGAAUCUUCCGCAAUGGACGAAAGUCUGACGGAGCAACGCCGCGUGAGUGAUGAAGGUUUUCGGAUCGUAAAGCUCUGUUGUUAGGGAAGAACAAGUGCAAGAGUAACUGCUUGCACCUUGACGGUACCUAACCAGAAAGCCACGGCUAACUACGUGCCAGCAGCCGCGGUAAUACGUAGGUGGCAAGCGUUGUCCGGAAUUAUUGGGCGUAAAGGGCUCGCAGGCGGUUUCUUAAGUCUGAUGUGAAAGCCCCCGGCUCAACCGGGGGGGUCAUUGGAAACUGGAAACUUGAGUGCAGAAGAGGAGAGUGGAAUUCCACGUGUAGCGGUGAAAUGCGUAGAGAUGUGGAGGAACACCAGUGGCGAAGGCGACUCUCUGGUCUGUAACUGACGCUGAGGAGCGAAAGCGUGGGGAGCGAACAGGAUUAGAUACCCUGGUAGUCCACGCCGUAAACGAUGAGUGCUAAGUGUUAGGGGGUUUCCGCCCCUUAGUGCUGCAGCUAACGCAUUAAGCACUCCGCCUGGGGAGUACGGUCGCAAGACUGAAACUCAAAGGAAUUGACGGGGGCCCGCACAAGCGGUGGAGCAUGUGGUUUAAUUCGAAGCAACGCGAAGAACCUUACCAGGUCUUGACAUCCUCUGACAACCCUAGAGAUAGGGCUUUCCCUUCGGGGACAGAGUGACAGGUGGUGCAUGGUUGUCGUCAGCUCGUGUCGUGAGAUGUUGGGUUAAGUCCCGCAACGAGCGCAACCCUUGAUCUUAGUUGCCAGCAUUCAGUUGGGCACUCUAAGGUGACUGCCGGUGACAAACCGGAGGAAGGUGGGGAUGACGUCAAAUCAUCAUGCCCCUUAUGACCUGGGCUACACACGUGCUACAAUGGACAGAACAAAGGGCUGCGAGACCGCAAGGUUUAGCCAAUCCCACAAAUCUGUUCUCAGUUCGGAUCGCAGUCUGCAACUCGACUGCGUGAAGCUGGAAUCGCUAGUAAUCGCGGAUCAGCAUGCCGCGG